GUGUCAGCCGCCGCGGUAAUACGUAGGGUCCGAGCGUUGUCCGGAAUUACUGGGCGUAAAGAGCUCGUAGGUGGUUUGUCGCGUUGUUCGUGAAAACCGGGGGCUUAACCCUCGGCGUGCGGGCGAUACGGGCAGACUGGAGUACUGCAGGGGAGACUGGAAUUCCUGGUGUAGCGGUGGAAUGCGCAGAUAUCAGGAGGAACACCGGUGGCGAAGGCGGGUCUCUGGGCAGUAACUGACGCUGAGGAGCGAAAGCGUGGGGAGCGAACAGGAUUAGAAACCCUAGUAGUCC
rnacentral:rRNA from 1 species